rnacentral:lncRNA from 1 species
UGAUUUGGACCUUGGCCUGCAAUGGACUCUUUUCUGCGAAGGAUCCAUGCAGUAAAAGCUAUGGCGAGGGGAACUUGAAGCAAGGAGAGAGACCAAUAUCCUAUUCCACAAGGCUUCAGUGGUAUGACACCCUGCAUGUUUCUUGAAUAACUAUGAGCAUUGAACAUGCCAUGAUUGAUCACAUAGAUUCAAGAUCAUCCCCAUCAUUCCAUGCAAUUUUAAAUUUUUAAAUAAAAGUUAAAAAUCUCCUCUCUCUCUUUUUUAUGCUUCUAAUUUUAUAAAAUUGAUGCUAUGUAAGGAUUAAGAUUAAUACAAAAAGUGGGCACAUAAACUGAAAGCUAGUGGACCAUAUAUACUUAGCAUAAUGCCUAUUGAUAAUUUUCACUCUCCAGGUAAAUCCAAAAUAAGGUAGCUUUCACUCUGCACUCCUUUUUAUUUAUUUAUUUAUGUUUCCAGUGGGUUUGCUGUAAAGAGAAAAUAGACCUUGGCCUAUAAUCAACCCUUGAGCAUCAGCAAUUCUACCUAUUAUUUUAAAUUCAUUUUAGAUUACACUAAGCUAAUUACAGAAUAUACGAAUUUCCUUAAAGUAGAUGGUCCUUCAAUUUCCAGGCAACUUUUGCAAAGGAAAGAAUAGGGUAUACACAUAAAGCUGAUUUGCAGAAUCCUGUGAGAUAUUCUAACAUAAGCCUAACAGUCAGGUAAUACUUUUUCUUGAAAAAUGGGAUUGUUGUUAUUAUUUUCAUUUAAUAAUCAUUUCAUAUCCGGACAUUACAAGAGCAAGACGUAUUUGAAAAUGAAAACAGUAGGAAAGUCAUGCAAAAUUUAUCCCAAAGAAAGACGAGACAAUUAGACAAGAAAAUGUUACCUGUCCAUAGCGAUUCCCACGAAGGAGAUAGAUGGCAAAGAAGGAAAACCAGACCAUAAUUAAGACCAUCAGUUUCUUCCAUGGAAACCUGCUACUACUUUCUUUAUCUUCCGUAUCCACCAAAGGUUUUUUUAGACUCUUAACCUCGCCGCUUUCACCAUUUUCCAGUUCUCCGUACCCAUCUAAGGUUCCUGGAUGUCGACCCGAUUCCUUUUUCCAAAGCCUGACCCCGUUUCCACAAGUCUUAAUGGUAGACCAAACGAGGAAAACGGCAAACAUGAUGGUGAUCAACCACUCUGGUAACACAAGGUUGCAAA